GAUGAACGCUGGCGGCGUGCCUAAUACAUGCAAGUCGAGCGAACGGACGAGAAGCUUGCUUCUCUGAUGUUAGCGGCGGACGGGUGAGUAACACGUGGAUAACCUACCUAUAAGACUGGGAUAACUUCGGGAAACCGGAGCUAAUACCGGAUAAUAUUUUGAACCGCAUGGUUCAAAAGUGAAAGACGGUCUUGCUGUCACUUAUAGAUGGAUCCGCGCUGCAUUAGCUAGUUGGUAAGGUAACGGCUUACCAAGGCAACGAUGCAUAGCCGACCGGAGAGGGUGAUCCGCCACACUGGAACUGAGACUCGGUCCAGACUCCUACGGGAGGCAGCAGUAGGGAAUCUUCCGCAAUGGGCGAAAGCCUGACGGAGCAACGCCGCGUGAGUGAUGAAGGUCUUCGGAUCGUAAAACUCUGUUAUUAGGGAAGAACAUAUGUGUAAGUAACUGUGCACAUCUUGACGGUACCUAAUCAGAAAGCCACGGCUAACUACGUG
rnacentral:rRNA from 1 species